GACGAACGCUGGCGGCGUGCCUAAUACAUGCAAGUAGAACGCACAGUUUAUACCGUAGCUUGCUACGCCAUAGACUGUGAGUUGCGAACGGGUGAGUAACGCGUAGGUAACCUGCCUGGUAGCGGGGGAUAACUAUUGGAAACGAUAGCUAAUACCGCAUAAUAUUAAUUAUUGCAUGAUAAUUAAUUGAAAGGUGCAAUUGCACCACUACCAGAUGGACCUGCGUUGUAUUAGCUAGUAGGUGAGGUAACGGCUCACCUAGGCGACGAUACAUAGCCGACCUGAGAGGGUGAUCGGCCACACUGGGACUGAGACACGGCCCAGACCCCUACGGGAGGCAGCAGUAGGGAAUCUUCGGCAAUGGACGAAAGUCUGACCGAGCAACGCCGCGUGAGUGAAGAAGGUUGUCGGAUCGUAAAGCUCUGUUGUAAGAGAAGAACGGGUGUGAGAGUGGAAAGUUCACACUGUGACGGUAUCUUACCAGAAAGGGACGGCUAACUACGUG
rnacentral:rRNA from 1 species